rnacentral:rRNA from 1 species
ACCUACGGGACGCAGCAGUGAGGAAUAUUGGUCAAUGGGCGGGAGCCUGAACCAGCCAAGUCGCGUGAGGGAAGACGGUCCUAUGGAUUGUAAACCUCUUUAGGCGGGGAGCAAUGCCGGGCACGCGUGCCCGGAGGGAGAGUACCCGCAGAAUAAGCAUCGGCUAACUCCGUGCCAGCAGCCGCGGUAAUACGGAGGAUGCGAGCGUUAUCCGGAUUUAUUGGGUUUAAAGGGUGCGCAGGCGGGCGAUCAAGUCAGCGGUAAAAUGUCGGGGCGCAACCCCGGGCGGCCGU